UAAUACGUAGGGGGCGAGCGUUGUCCGGAAUUACUGGGCGUAAAGGGCGUGUAGGCGGCCUGUUAAGUCAGGGGUGAAAGACCGGGGCUCAACCCCGGGGGUGCCUCUGAAACUGGCGGGCUUGAGUGCUCUAGAGGGCAGUGGAAUUCCCGGUGUAGCAGUGAAAUGCGUAGAGAUCGGGAGGAACACCAGUGGCGAAGGCGGCUGCCUGGGGAGUCACUGACGCUGAGGCGCGAAAGCUAGGGGAGCAAACAGGAUUAGAUACCCUGGUAGUCCUAGCCGUAAACGAUGAGUGCUAUGUGUGAGGGGUAUCGACCCCCCUCGUGCAGGAGCUAACGCACUAAGCACUCCGCCUGGGGAGUACGGCCGCAAGGUUGAAACUCAAAGGAAUUGACGGGGGCCCGCACAAGCAGCGGAGCAUGUGGUUUAAUUCGAAGCAACGCGUAGAACCUUACCAGGGCUUGACAUCCACCGAACCCUGCAGAGAUGCGGGGGUGCCUCUCUUCGGAGAGGAACGGUGAGACAGGUGGUGCAUGGUUGUCGUCAGCUCGUGUCGUGAGAUGUUGGGUUAAGUCCCGCAACGAGCGCAACCCCUGUCGCAUGUUGCCAGCACGUUAUGGUGGGCACUCAUGCGAGACUGCCGGUGACAAACCGGAGGAAGGUGGGGAUGACGUCAAAUCAUCAUGCCCCUUAUGUCCUGGGCUACACACGUGCUACAAUGGCCGCCACAGAGCGCCCCGAACCCGCGAGGGGGAGGCAAUCGCGAAAGGCGGUCCCAGUUCGGAUCGCAGGCUGCAACUCGCCUGCGUGAAGUCGGAGUUGCUAGUAAUCGCGGAUCAGCACGCCGCGGUGAAUACGUUCCCGGGCCUUGUACACACCGCCCGUCACACCAUGGGAGCUGGCAACACCCGAAGUCGGUGAGCUAACCCGCAAGGGAGGCAGCCGCCGAAGGUGGGGCCGGUGACUGGGGUG
rnacentral:rRNA from 1 species